GUGCAUGCAAAGCUGGAGUGCUAAUUCAGGACUCAAUGUUUUGUGAAACUCAGCACCAGCCUGGCAGAAACAGGAAGAGAAGAGCACAGGAGGCUUACACUAAUCUGUGUUGCUUAAUUUAAGCAUAGGAAGUCUCCCAAAUAUUGCCUGCAGGAAGGACAAGAUGGCAAAUGCUGCUCUCAGGGCUGGGAGGAGGCAAAGUGCACUCUUCACCUCGUGAAAUGCAAGUAGACCUGCUGCGUGGCAGGACUUGUGGGUUGCCUUGGCUGCUCAGUAGGAACAAUAUGUGUUGGCAAUAAACUGCUACACACACUGAGUACUGCUGGGUUUCUAGGCAGGGAACUGUAGAACUGUUUGUUUUCCUGACCAGAUGUUGAAAAGUAGAUAUGGAAGACAGAGGUAAAACACUUGUAGGAUGGCUCCCCUUGGUCCUGUUUCUUGACUUUGGCAGCAGCAAACUUGCUCCAGCCCACUCCACCGGCCCACACAGGAGCCACAAGACAGGUUAUUAUCAGCUCUGUGGUCUGUCUCUGCAAACAGGACAAGAGGAUGAUACAACACUUUUUCUAUCAUUACAUGAUAAGG